rnacentral:lncRNA from 1 species
GGCUUAGAUGCUUUUUUCAGAUGUGGCCAGUGCUUCACCCGCUAAUGGAGGAGGCUCUGCUAGACUGAAUGCUCUCUCAGUAAUCCUCGUCUUAUUUGCAUUUCAAUUCUUGUGCUUUCCUCAGCCGGGAAGCUAAUCCAGCGGGUUGUGAAUGUGGGCUAAACUUGAAUCAACAUUUCUUAAGUUAUCUCAUACAGAUAUUACUGUCUGCCUGCUCUAAUUCCUUAAUUUACUGUAUUGUAUGGAGCAGACAAAUCCUCAUGUCUCUUUUUCUUUAAAUGUCGAUGCAACAGUUCUAACAGCACUCGGCACAGGAUGCAACACUUCAUCGACUUGUUACUGUGAUGAUCAAGAGGCCAGGAAACAGGUACGGAUUAACUAGAUGGAUGCAAAUUUCCCUGGAGAGUGAUGCCGAAUGACCCUGAUUGCAAUUUCUGCAUGAUGAUGGUGCUGCUAGUGCGCUCAGUGCAUCUGUAUCACUCCUACCCAGUGCACCUUUCUCUCUGACCCCUUCAGUGGCAUUCAAUAAUGCGUCUGGAUCCUCACUGUUAAGAUUCCAAACACACACUCGCUGCUAAACCAACUGCUGCAGGGGCAUGGCUGAUAGGGGUGUUUGCAUUCAAGGCUUGUCUGAGCUGCUAUUGAUAGACUUUUAUUAACUUAACCAGGUUCAAGAUUUCCCUGGUUCCUCAGUUAUUAGGGGAUAAACCUUCUCACCUCGAGAGCACAGAGGAUUUGGCUGGAUUUGGAUAAUUGGUGCGGUAUCUCUGCUGCCUUUAAAACAAAAAAGAAAGAGGAGAACUUUAACACUCUAACUCCUACUGUAUUUUUCCAUACACAGAAAGAGAGAGAGACAUACUGUAUAUGAACAUCUAACAGAGACGUUUAAAAUCCAUUAAUGGAUCAGACAUGACAAGACAGUGUGACUCUGUGUACAAGCGUUGCUUUUCUUAGUCAUACCAUCCAUGAAACAUUAGCAAUUGGCCCAUAAAAAAAUCCAUCAUAACCUCAAGGCACAUUACAGAGAAGGUUAAGCACAAACAACAGAAAUAUUAAUAAUAUGCAGCUCGAUUUCUCAGUUUAAAAGUUCAGCAGAGAUAAACAUUUGCAAAGGAAAAAAACCCCAGUAAUUAAAGCAUAUACUUUGGUAAUUAAAAUAUCCCCUCGAUCACACUGCAGGGAUUAUUUUUUCAGCCAGCUUGAAUAAGAUAAAAAGCUGUUGAAAAGAAAAAGUUGUGGAUUUUUUACAAGCUAAUUAACAUUUUGUGUCCCCCAAGUUCAAGAUGACACUUUUGCAAGCUGUAUUGUGUUGCAUAAUCACACUGCUGUCCCUCUACACUCAUCAUUUUGUGACACAGAUCAGUACAGCUCAAAGCAGGAUUGAUGUGAGCUUGCUAACCAGAGUGGAAGUGUAAAGCAGAGACACUGUGAUACUCUUCCAGUGUAGUGUUUGCCAUGCUAUUAUUAAAGCCUGUAAUCAUGGGGAUGUUGGUUGGUAUAUCCAGUGGCAUUUCAAGGUCAGUUUGGGUUUAUUACUUGACAGUACUGUGACCUAUAUGAGAUUUAUAACAUGUAGGUUUUUCAUUUAAUCAAAUCUCAUAUUUAUAUGUAAAUGACAUUCAUUUUUGGAUGUCAUUUUAUCACCAGAAGCCAUUCUGUCAUUUCCUGCUGUAAUUGCCUCAGUUUUCUAUGCUCUUUGGGUUUCAGAUUUGUUACCCCAUGCACAAGGGAAUGACAGGAAAUGAUGGACAUGAAUUUUGGACGUGAUGAGGAAGACAAAAGCUGGUGUCAGGAAACCGUCUGCUUUCUUAAAAUAAUGAAGCGCAGCCUGCAACUUUUAUGAGGGCUCCUUUUGAUACACAACUUUAGAUGCAUUCCUGACAGAGUAACCACUCAACAUGUGUUUGCUGCUCUGUUGAUGGAUGUUUCAUUUCUAAAUGUACUGCUGGAGAAUGAAACAGGAUUUCUAUUACAACAUUUCAGCACAGCUGCCAUUAGGUCAACUAGGACAGAAAUCAUAAUGUCGUGUUCACACCAAACACUCAGGAAAUCAUUAACUCACUUAAUCUGCGGUGUUCGUGCCACCUCAAUCAUUGGUGUCGCCCGACAAGAGCUUGUUACAUUUAAUCCACUCAUGUCAAUGAUUUUGUUCACAUUUUGGUGUGAACACAACAUAAUAUAGAGAGCAUAAUAAUUUAAUCUGUUUGAACACCUGAAUGUUGUGUUUACUCGCUUAAUUCAUGCUAAUGACUCGCUCCAUGCAGGAGUUAUUCCAAAAGAUGAGGGGUCGUCCGUGUCAUCAGUUCCGUUUACGUCAAACAUAGUUGAAGUUGACCACAAUGUGACAAUCUGUCGUGUUUAAACAGCUCAUCAGAUAAUUCACUCGCUGUACUCCAAGACAGCUCUUGUGUAGUCCUGUCACAAUAUUAAUACAAGUUGUUUCCUGUAGCUUGAGCAGCUACGUACCGUCAUGAUCAGUUUACCCUCCAUUUUCUGGAUGAAUAAACCCGCCAGUCCUUUGUUAAAUGGCGUACAACAUUAGGGAAUAUCCUGAUUGUCUGUUGCGGAACAAAUGAUUCACUCGAGUUCAGAUUUUUUUAGUCUCACGAAAAGGCAAAUGAAGCAAGUAGUACUCUGAAAAUGUUGUGAUUUCGCACCAUGUCUAAUCUGCUCAAUUUGCGCUAUUUGUGCCGCCUCAUUCAGACGUUGAAGCAUUUAAUGGUUUGAGAUUCUAUUAUUUGCAUUUGGUGUGACGUUGAAGCUCUUCUCAGGAGUUAAUGGUUUGCGUUGACUUUGGCACCCCCUGUGGACAAAGUGAUUCAGGUAAAGAGUAUUUCCUAAUAAAAAAUGAGACUCAAAUGCUCAUCGUGAACCUUUGCUUGGGAAAAUGUUACAGUCUAUUUCCUCGGGUCAGGUUUUAAUGAUCAAAAACUUAAUAGAUACAAAUCCAUUCGUGCUCAACAACAACUGAUCUCACUUUUAUACCUGCACAUAUUGUGUAUCUACCCAGGAUUUAACAAAAUAUGUUUGGUUCCUGUUGGUAUGUGUAUUUCUGUUAUUGUAGAAAACACAGUACUGCAGCAUAUCAACCUCCUGACCAAGGACCUGCUGGUUCUUUAACAUGAAAGACUUUUUUCUUUCACAUCUUCAGAAAUGAAAUGAUUCUGAUAUUCCAUUCGAUAUAAACUAAUUCAGACAUACUUCUGCAUGACAUAUUCAAUUUCUUUGGAAAAAUGCAGCUAAAUUCUGCACUAUGCAGCUUGAAAAGGAACCAGGAGGAUGUUUUGUCGGAAAAACUAUCUUUGGAUGCAGGUGACAGGAUCAGAAAAGUGAUAAGAUGCACAUCUCUAUCCACAGGGGGUGCUAAAUUUGACACAAAUUGAAAGUCGCUCAUGCAAGUUUUACAAGCUGUAAAAUGGUAAUAUCGGAAUUUGGCAGCUGCUUUAAGCUUUAUUUUAGGGCCCUAGUGAUUUUCCACAGCUUAAGGCAUUGCAAAAGCAUUUGACAGCCGAGGUGUGAGCAUCAUGCACAACUACGCUGAGGCACACACUCACAAACACAUCGUGUGGUUCCAUCCUGCCAUCUCUGACACUUACAGUGACUCUGUUCAGUUUCUUUUACACCUCUAUUACUACCUCUGAUGCCCACCUAGCGGCAGAAUGAUUUCACCCCACUAUUCUACCAUUUGCAAGUCAGCUUGGCAUAACAGAGGUGUGACAGCUCCGUCUUGAGCAGACAACGUAAAGGGAGCAAUAGACUGUGUCAGCCACUUGGCGCUGGGCAGGGAGCGCACAGCUGCCUGCUGGUGCUGAUAACAAGGUUACAGAGUGAUAACAGCUGAGGCUUAACCAAAACAAAUGCUUCAAAGACAUUGAAAGCUUCACAGAGUCAGGGAGGAGUGGCAGAUGAUAACUAUUUGUUGACUUGUAGAUAUUCAGCCUGCAUUACAGUAACAAUGUUUUGAUGUGACAUUGUGGAGGAAAUGAACAGGAUGUAAUGAGUUUCUUUAAAAAGCUCCAGAGGGAUAUGGGGAUGAUUUUAUUCCUCACAUGGAUAUUAAAUGAGUUGUUAAAUUAUCCGUCUAUUAUUAGGACUAUGAACAGCUGCGUCACUUCUGUGAAACUUCUCUCUGACUCACAUGAGUGUUUAGGUCGCUUACUUGGCAGGAUGAGUGGAGAUGAGAAACCACUGCAUCUCAUAGACCAGGGUUUUCCUUGUAUUCAUGGAUCAGUGGCUUAUUUGGCCGCAUUCAGCACAAGCUCAGUGCACUAAAAGCAUAAAUCAAAGGAGCCCUCUGAGUGACUUUUUAUGUCUUUAUCUAUGAUGGACCUUGAAGUAUAUUCAGAACUAAAUAAAGAUGUAUCCUGGCCAGAUCUGAUCAUAAAUGUGUAAGUGCCGACUCUUCCAUAGAUUAUGGUGCUGCAGCAUCAUUUAGAUCUCCCGGCCAUGUUUUAAUGAGUUUUAUUAGCUCUACAGUUUAGGACAGAAAUCUUUCAGCCGCUUAGGGAACUUCUUACUUUGUUAUCUAACCCGUCUCCAUCCAUGAAUUCCUGAAAUGCUGCAACUUCUUUGUCCUCAAACUAAAAUGAGAUUCCCACAGGAGGAAAUGAAACACUGUGCAGCUCUCCUCUUCAUGCUUAUGUUUAUCCUGCUCUUCUUUCCUCUCUUUCCGUCUCCCACACUGAGAGCCCAUCAAGAAAACAGACAUGUAGCCUCCAGGUUGGUAUCAAUAUAUGACUAUAUUUAAUGUUGGCAGUUAGAAAUGCCUCACAAUGGGCAGAUUUAGGACAUGCGGUCCUUCUCGUUGACAAACAUAUUGUGUUUUUUUAAUGGGGGAGUGUUAAUUCUGAAUGCAAUCAUAAAUAGAAGUGGAAUUGUUUCAGAGUGGUGAUGCAGCAGUUGCAACAUUAGGAGUGGGAACUUAAAUCCAGAUGAUAAAGUAAAAGCCUAUAUGAUGUAAAAACAAAUAUUUCAUAUUUAAUAUAAUCCACUUCAGAUUGUCAGUCUUAGCUUUAGGCUCAUGCAAGAUAAAAUUCCAAUUUGUAAGAAUGCCGGAGCAGAUCUGUGCUCAGGAUGUGACUUAUUCAUUUAAAAAGUCAGUUAAAUUUUAAUGGUGAUGCACAGCUAACCCCUGAGCAUGACUUGAACCCGUACACAUCGAUGGAACCUAUCUCCUACUUAAUGGGAAUCUAUAUUUUAGUCUGUAAUUAGACCCUCGAAAGCCUCGCGUGUGUUAGUGAUUACGCAAUGAUUAAUUCCAUUAUCUCCAACACACACGCGCCACUUAUUGAGAUGUGUAGGAGGGUAAAUCGAGGGAGAGACGCACCAAGAUAGUCCACAAGUGAAGGAAAAAUGACACUCUAUCAAGUGCUGUGUGUAAAUGAAUUCUGUCCUUACAACAUUAUGUCAUCAGGAGGCAUGCUGUGAAAGACACUGGAAGAAGGAGCAGGCGAAAUUUAAAAUCUUUCCAAUGUUCUGACUUCCUUUUAUAAAUAAUGGAUGGAUCUUACAGUACAUUCACAUUGCUCUGACAUUGCAAAACAUUGUGCUCUGCUGCACAUUAUUGUCGAACAUUUCCAUUUCAUGACCGUGGUGAGAGGGAGGAGAGAGGGAAAUGGAAAUACUGGCUGUGUUGUAGCAUCUCUGUAGUUCACUUCCAGAGUCGAUUCAAACAGGAGUACCAUGCUGUCCUGAGUCAUACUCACCUCAUGACAAAUAAUGACUAAUAGCCAUUCUGAUAGGAGUGGUGUUCAAGGGGGACAUUUUUCUGUGCUGCAGAAGGUGGCAAAGUGCUGCUAUCACGCUGAAAGGAGCAUUUAAGAUGGGUGCUUCGAUUUCAAAAGGGCAAAGAGGACAGUAAAUAAGAGCGUCUACCCGAAAGGAGAGAACAAAUGUCAGGGCAUGAUAACAAAAACACAGUUAGGAAGCUUCACAUUUAAAACAGACACUAGAAAAGAGGAGCUAUUUUAAACUUCUUGGAAAUGUCAAACCUUUUGGAGGUUGCGGCUCCGACUGGCUUGUGUUAUACGUGCAUUUUCUGUUACAUUUCCAGGAAUGACAUUAACAAAAAUCAAUGAUGCUCUAUGGGACUAAAAGGCACAUUACUGUCUUUUAUUCCUGUUCGGCUUAUGCACCAUUUUAAGCCAAAACAUGUUUCCACAGCUGUCAAAACCACAUAUUUAAUGUAUCUGACUGUAUGGAAACGGCAUAUAGGGGUGACCUCAUUUUCAAGGACUGAUGCAUUAUGGGACCCUGCGAUCAGGAGUGGUUCUUAAUAAUUUCUGCCUCUGUGGCUUAAUGCUUAUCAACAUAUCCUGCCGCUGAUUAGGCCUCAUUCCUGCUUUAAUCCGGACAACUUAAUUAUACAGGAGAUGUCAGACUAACCGGAGACACUCUUAUUCUGAGUGUGGCAAAUCCAGGAGUGAAUAUUUCAUGUAGCCAGCUUCCUGUGCCAUAGACAUUCAGUCUCCUGGGGGGGCCAGAAGGACGUACAAGCAGAAUAUGAGUCAUACAUACAUGCAUGAAACCCUGUGUUUACAUAUGGCCUGACCCAAAUCAUGAUAAACAAGGUUGUUUUUUCAAUAAAAUGCAAACAAAUUAAAGCAUUUAUUUACAAAUUUCUUUAGUAUAUUUAGAUGCUGUAUUGUGUUUGUAGUAUCUGUAUAUAACAAAGAGUCCAUAAACAGAACCUGCUGUGGUCGUCUGCAAUCAUCACAGCAGGUGUUGUUGCUCCACCACCAGAACCCGCCUGAUUAAUGUACUUAAUACCAUCCUGUCCCGAUAAUAAAAAUUGUAGCUAGAGACCACAGAAGAAGAGGUCUAAGUUGCCAUAGCAACCAACCUUUUUCCCUGCUUGACUGUUUUCCUGUGAGUGGAUGUUGCUUUGAUCUGCUAGCCACUGGCUAGGUGAGGAGUUUAACUGUGUUGUAACUAACGUGGGGGACUCUCCCUGUGGGGGAAAAAGAAACCCAUCAAGAUUGCAAUCAACACUCGGAUUAUAGCAGAGGAAACGUGGCGUAAUCUGGUGGUAUGAGUUUUAUAAUCUUGCAGGAAUCGAUCGUAAGCUUUUAAAGGUUCGGUGUAUUUCACUGCAUGACUUUUUAAAGGACACGGAUUUACAAGGACAGCUUUGGUCUGCUUUCUAAAGUGUGUUUAUGUUGUUUCUACUUUUGGCAGGAUUGCUUGCCCAGACUAAGGUUAAGGUGUUGGAUUCUCAGUUUCUGAAUUAAAAAAUACUAUAAAUAUGCAUGUAAACCUCCCAUAAAGCCAGGUAUUUUUAAAUAUGCAGCGUAUGCAAUGAAUUAUUGAAAAACAUUGUGAAAUCUAAAAUAGUGGCUGUGAAUAAUUCAUCUGACAUUCUUUUGAGUUGCAUAUUGCAAACCACAGUGGAGACUGAUGCAUUAUCAGACAUUGUUUGGGAAUUUGUAAUAAUUUGGGCAUCAUUGUAAAUCAUUGAAUUUGUUUGCUGAGCAGAGUAGCUGUCAACUCCAAACUGCUGUGAGGACUCUCAGGGAGCUCAACUGCAGCAGGUGGCUCUGCUUGGUGGUGCUACAAAGUAGAUGCAAAUAUCCUUCCUCAUGCUUUCCACAAGGGUGAUCACCAGGUUUACACCUCAGUGUGUCCACACAAGAAUGCUGCAUUUUGAAGAGGUCUCUGUGCCCGCGGUGAUAAGCUCAGUGACAGUAAACAAAACACAUCUGUGACCAGAUUACCUCUGACUCAUUACAGGGAAUAUUUUCUUUUUUUCCUCUACAGAGACUAGUACAUCAAUAGUGUUUCAACUAGCACACGUGUGAAGGACUUUUUCUCCGUCUUCUUUAUUCUGUAUAUUAGGUUAAGUGCUCUGUACGGAGAUUGUCAUGCCUGCAGUCACCUAAAUUAUAAUAGCUGAUGCUGCAGUCGCACAUACAGCUGUGUUCAGGGUUCAUCAGGGAUUGGCAGUGUUCUCUUUAGAUGUGAACUGAAGCAUUUUAGUGCUAACCUCAGCUAUAUGACACUUUUGUGUUUAGUAAAAGCGCGACCCGUUUUCUGCUUAUUCUUCUGUUUGAACCUUGAUUUAUGCCAGCAUGUCAUGCAUUAAUGUUUUUUUAAACAUACAUAGACGAAUGGAGUUAGUUUCACAGUAUUUGCACUCUUGUGCACUUUCUAGGCAUUGGCACUAUUUUUUUCAGGAUUUUAUAUGACAAGGGUGAUCCAACUGGAGCAAUAACUCAUGUGGAGAUGGCAUGUAGAAAACUACUUCAGCCAAAUACAAUAAAAUCACAUAGAAAGUCAUAAAAGUGUGUCCCCGAAGUCAUAAUUUUAAGUACUUGAAGAGUUACAAGUGUAGAAAUGCAAUAACAAUUUUAGAUGGACUGAUUUCUCCCCUUUGCAGCUGUCUUUUUAAAUAAAUCUGAUAUAUAGUGUGAGGUAUUUUUCUUUGACUUAAAACAUCCAAAAAGUGAUAUGUUUACAGUACGUGCAAACAAAGCACUGAGCAGCCAGUUUAAACAUUGUCAAAAUAGCUGAUUUUAGCAUACUGUACUUCAUAUAUUUGUUAAGUUAUUUCAAUAGGAUGAUGCACAUUAAACAAUAUUUAAGCAGUAAUAGUCUGUCAGUCACUUUGUGCAGCAUCUCUGCGCUACAACUCUGUAACAGAAUUACCUAGCUCUGAAUUGCACACUAUAUAUGUUUUUUGCAUCACAUUUCAUAUACAGUUUACAUCAAUGCAAUGAUGCAGAUUGCACUCACCAGCUACAUGUGUGUGUAUAUAUACAGUAUAUACGUAUGUACAUAUAUUCUCUUGUAUUGUUUUGCCAUAUGUGCUGUAGAGGAACGUUCCUUGUGAUUUCCGUGUGUUUGGCCCAUAUGGCAGAAAUUGACUAUAAAAAGCUUGACUUGACCUGACUAUGUAAAUAUGCAGCAAUUGGCACAAUAGCUACAAUUCAUCCAUCAACUGUAAUUUAGGACACUAGGUUGGCACCUGGGAUAUGUAGCAGUGAAAGUUACAGUUAGAAAGCCCUGCACACCAGUUAGACUGUUUGUCUUACACCUGGGUGUAGGACAAACAGGCUCAGCAGACUAGCCUGCCCGUAGAUAAACAGUAAAAGUGACAGAAUUACAAAAGCCAAUGGCAGGACAAUAAAGUUCUUAUCCUCAUUAUCUAGUCAGAGAAAGUGCAUUGAGUUGAUAGAGAGUGAUGUGUUAUUGGACACCACUCAGAGAGCUUUAUUUUAAAGUCUUGCUAACCCUGUUUUGAAUUAAUAAGAGUCUGAACUACAGUGUGUGUGGGAUAGAGAUGGAGGGCUGUCCCGGCCCUGCAGGUGCUGAUCAUUUCAGGUUCAGUGUAAAUGAGGCUGUCAGCUCUGAGCUGUCAAUGCCAUUUAGUGUGAAAGUGGGGACAUUCUUCCCUAAAGUGAGUAUGCUGCUCUUAUGACGGUUUUGGUCACAGACCUCCCUUAUUCCCCCAGUGAAAGCCUCUGUUUGUUAUACAGUAUAUUUGCACACAGUUUUAUAAGUUUUGGUAUUUUGCUGUCAGACUUUCUUCUUUUGGGUUUUGUUAUCCCACCCUCUGCCGACAUUUUAUUGGAGAACAGCAUGGACAGAAUUGAGUGUCAACACUCACGACCCUGUGAAUGUCUAUGUGAAUGUGUACGAUAAGCUAGAAUCAGUCCCAGUCAGGUUUAGUGGACUCAGUAUGACUCAAAAAGUUGGUCAUAGAUAAGUCUAAUAAAAAAUACAACUGACUUAAGUGAGGUGUACACAACUAGAAAAUCAUGCUGACUUUGGGUCGAUCUCCCCUUUCGAUGUCAGCAAAGGCCUGAUCAUUAGUGGGUUCUAAAGAUUACCUUCUCAGAUUGUCCUGAGGUGUGUGAAGAGUGAUUUUCCUUCCUUUUGAUGAAAUGGUCUGUGCAAAAGGUGAUCGGAGAUCCUCUGACUUGGAACUGUAAAUAUUAAUUUUGUUCAAUAUUUACGACCCAUAAUCUUAAUGUGUUGGGGGAUCCCCAAGGACGAUCAAUCAUGCAUGCCAUCCAUUAUCAUGUGAACAACUGGAUAGCCAAUCGGGGAGCAAGCUGACCAAAGAAGGAAAUGGCAGCAUGGCAAUGACAGUAAACGUAAAGCAUAAACUGAGACAUGAGUGUUUACACAGCACUGUGGUAAAACACUGCAACUGAAAUUAACAAAUUGAAGAGACACCUCAGUGGGUUUAGAAACAAAACAAUGAAAUCUGUCAUCAUUUGUUGUCAUGUGUGGGGUCCCUGAUGGUUUUAACAUCAGUUCAGAGUCUGAAAAUCUUUCUGUGUGUGCCAGACUUUACAUCCAGCUGGUGCACUCGACCCCUAAGAUGGCCAAUCGAAUGUCAAGAGUGGCCUUUGGCACUCCUUGCCACCCCAUGAAGCCACCCCUGACUCUGUGACCCUGUAAGCAGGAACACUGUUAAGCGUAACGCUCGCACGGCAACAAACUAGCUUGUUGAUAUUCAGUAUGCAGGCUACAAUGUUUUUCCAUCUUAGCUGAACCGUUUGACAUACUAACAUUUGCUGUUCCACAAAAUGAUUACACUCUUGUAGGGGAUAUGAAUGUCUUCACCAUUUUUUUGCAGUCCAUCCAAACAGAUUUUGACACUUGUCACUCAGAACCACAAAAUGUCAACUUCAUGUGGGCACUUUAGGAGAAGACAGGUCAACAAAAUCAUUCACUCUCACACUUUAGGAACCACAAAGUUGCUCCCGGUGGCACACAAGGGAAAAUCAGGGGGUUAGAAAAGUCAUAAAGGACUUGGUAACACAUUUGAUCACAAACAAGAAGUUAUUAAAACAAACUGGUUAUAGGUAGACAAAUAACAGCAUCCUUAGAACCAGAAAUUGAGCUCAAACACAAUUGUGCUCUGCCAAAGCCUAAAAUACUACUGGGAUACUGGGAUACUGGGAUAAACUGACUGUGUGCUAACACUAAUACAUCCAUUAAGUAGAAAAAUAUUAAAAAUCCAAACACUUUUACAGUCAUCAGUCUCAUUUUAAAAGGAUGUGAUAUUUAAUAUUUAAUGUCUACUGGUCUGAGACAUCAAAACUAAGUGAUUCAGACAUUAACUUUUAGUUUUUCCCAGCUGUCUCAUAUUUAAUGUCAAAUAUACAGUCUGUGUAAAUAGAUUUUACAACCUCAUACACUUAAAAAACUCUUGGGUUAUUUCUUCAACUCAAUUCCUGGGUUAUAUGUGUUGAGUUAAAUUUCUGGGUUAUUUUUCAGAUCCAUAUCCAUUUCUUGGGUCAUAGGGAUUCUAUUGUAACCCAAUUUAAGGGUUUUAUAAAAGGGCUAAUAAUUAUGGGUUAUUUUUCUGAGAGUAACCCAAUAAUUGGGUCAGAACAUUGGGUUCGAUUGACUCUACGUGGUUUCUCGGCCUAAUAGCAAUUAAAGUGACCUGGUGACCUUGUGAACUUUGACCUUUAUUUUAUAUACAAUAUGAUAUAUAUAUGUUAAAACAAUAUGAUAUAUAUAUGUUUAUACAUAUGUUUAUAUAUAUAUACACACACACACACACACACACACACACACACACACACACACACACACACACACACACACAUAUAUAUAUAUAUAUAUAUAUCAGUGGCGGCUGCUGGUCUUUCAAUGAGGGGAAGCUCAUUUUUCUGGCCUACAUCAUAAUUGUAUUUGUUUAUUAGUAUGUAACAGAACAGAGUCGCCAAACACAACGGCAGUCGUUUUUAAUAAAGACAGAAGUCGCUGAGGAUUGGUAAAGUCUCCGGAGCAGUUAAGAACAACGGAAUGAAUGACUUGGAAAAUGCUCUGGUAGAUGUUUUAUUCUUCAAGAUCGCUGAUUCGCUUGUUUAGCUGUCAAUCAAAAAAGGAUUUCGCCUCAGACAGCUCAUCCAAUCAUUGAUGCAGAAGCUUGCAGUCCGGGAGAAAGUCGGGACCGCCCUCUCGCCAUAGAACUCCAGUGAAGCUUAGCUUCCAUUGGGCGGGACAAAGCCCAGCAUUUAUCCAAUGAGCGUCUAGUUUCGCUGCUGGAACAACCCACUUUUAGCUUCCACAUUGAAGUCAGCAGAAGCCCAGCGUCCGGCUGUUUAAAGCGCUGAGGCGCUGCGAGGAUGAAUGAGAACGAAGUUAUGCCGGUUACCUAUAAUUAUCAGCUUCUUAUCACAGUGUCUGAACAAAAGAUGAAGGCUUUCUAGUGCGUAUUUAGUUAAUGAAAUGUACACACAGCAGUACGUAUUUCACCACUUUUUCUUUUUUUUGGGGGGUGACAUUUUAAGGGAAGCCGAGCUUCCCUUGCAGUCUUAGAGCAAUCGCCACUGAUAUAUAUAUAUAUAUAUAUAUAUAUAUAUAUAUAUAUAUAUAUAUAUAUACACAUAUGUGUAUAUAUAUUAUAUAUAUAUAUAUAUAUAUAUAUAUAUAUAUAUAUAUUUAUACAUACAUACAUACAUACAUACAUACCAGUGUGGGUCCUCAGGCAAGACCCUUAGCGCUAUGGCCUGAGGGAUAUAUGGUUGCAGUCAGUACACCGAAACAGCUAGGGUACAACCUGUACCCUAUUUUCCCAUGCACUUUAAUCUAACUGAUUCCCUCUUAUCAGUUAGAUAAAAGUAAAUGAGAAAAUAGGGUACAGGUUGUAAAAGAAAAGCUCCCCAAAUGCAUAUAUCAAUUUAUCCCAAGAUCAUGAGUCAAUUUGACUCGAAGAUUGGAUUAACUUGACCCUUAAAAAGAGUUAUUGAGUCAACCCAAAAUUUAGUUUAAUUUGAAUAACCCAACAUUCUGGGUCAAAAUAACCCAAUAAGUUGUCGGUCCCUUUUCAACCCUGGUGUUGGGUUAAAAACAACCCAAGUUGGGUUGUUUUUAACCCAGGGGUCUUAAGAGUGUAGCAGUUGUAAGAACUACAUAAAGUUAAAGCUAAAAUGGAGAGACAUUCAAAACAGGCCUUUGUUGCUCUUUUGUGAACAUUUUCUUAUCUUGUUACUUCAUCUUUUUGGUUAUUCUAAAGGCAUACAUUUUUGUUUGUACAAAAAUCAACAAUCCUUGUCAAAACUGCCGAAGUCUUUUAGUGGUUGGCUGGAUAAAUCUGACACUUCUUUUGGGAAAUCUGGGAAAUGUUGGCAGUCAACCAACAAUAGCCUGUCAAUUAUCCAGUCAAGAGUGAACAAGUGAAGUGGUGUCUUACAUAAAUCGCUGUGAGCUUCAUCAGCAUUAUGAGAGCUGACACACACUGGCGGCUCUUCUUAGUCUUUUGCCUUGUUAGGAGUUGUGUAGCAGCACGAUACUUAACACAAGGGGGGAACUUAAAAGAACUGUUUUGAUGCAGUUGCCACCAGCGUGCAGUACACAGCCUUCAGCAAAUAAUGCUUCCCACUGUACUUAAUGAGGAAAUACAUGAAUGGUCAAAUGUAGUUAAUGCUGAGGCAUUGAGAUACCACUCUUUGAAGUGCAGCUUUUUGAAUAUUAAUGAUAUUCAUGACCUAUUUGCUACUUCACUUUAUGUAAAUUCCUGAUGGCCUUGCUGCCCUUAUGCUUUCAUGGAGGAUGUGAUGAUGCUGUUGGCACAAAAACAAUUUAAUUAAUGUGGGAGUGUAUGCGUAAACUUCUUAAGAAGAACCAAAGAUUUUGGCUUUAAUGCUGUAUCUGCGGUUUUCUUCUGGAUGUUUGAACAAUUUUGUAAAUUAGAAUCAAAGUCAGGAUCUCAUUAUAUUUAAACAAAUGAAACCGCGGGUGAAGACAUUUGUUUGACAGCUUGUAUAUGGCAGCCCUCCCCUGGGUUCAAAAGAUGCUUACCCAACACCCCCACCUUGCCAUCUGUCUGGAUCUGUAAAUCCCACAUGGAUACUCAAAACAGACAGAAACACAGAAAAGUGCUUUCAGGAACCACAGCACCCGCUCAGCCUGUCAUGACAGCUAAGUAUGACAUAAGAGUUUCACUAUGUCUUGAACUAUAGACCGUAAAAAGUUAUACUCAAGUUGAAGUGUGAUAGUGUCUGUGUUUCCACAAGCCUAACCAAAGGGAAAGUUUUUCUUUUUGGGUUUAGCUACAGAAAUAGCUGAUUCUGAGUAUUCUGACGCGUGCUGAAAGAGGAAGUUAACUUGAGAAAUACUUAACUCCAGGUUGAGCUGUAGUGCUCUUGCAAAAAGUGCCUCCUUGAAUAUUUGCUGGUAAUGCAACUUUGUCAAGUUAGUUACUUAGCAACUGCCACUUGGCUUAAGUCCCUUUACGGUUCAUAUCAGCCAGCCAUCACUAUAGUUGUGCAGACUGAAAAAAAGUUUCCCUGGUUUAUAGUUCCCAGGGAGCUCCCUAGUGGACAGUCACUCUUCAGAAAGUCCCCAGAUCUGUGUGGGCAAAAACUGUGGGCUGUGAAGCCAGCCGACCACAUCCAUGGUUGCUGACAUAUUGAACUUGUAGCCGAGACAUGCACAGGAGCAAACUCACAUCACACCCUCUCUGCUAACUAAAACACACAUUAAACUUAUGACCAAUUGAAUGAUUAUUAUGUUAGUUUUUAUUCCUCUCUUCUGAUCCCUUAUUUGCAGAGCUGUCAAUCUGUCAUCUUUUUAAAGUAAACUUCUCAGAAAAAUUUAUACUUGGCCACAAAUUAGCAUAGCAACUAGCUACAUCGACAAGCACUCUUAUUCAAAUUUUAUUUUUUGAAUUUUAUUUAUUUAUUCAUUCUUUAGCUUGUAUAUCAUGUUUGUUAAGUGAACUAGUGUGUUUGGUAUUUAUCUUUAUCUUCGGGUGGCAGCUGUAGCCUUUAUCAUUUCAAUAUACCUGUAUAAGGACAAUAAUCUAGUCAGCAGGGGGAGCUCUGAAUAUUGUGGUCUCACAGUCAGUUAAGACUUGUUGCGCCUUUUUUAAAAUCCAAACUGUGAUAUAUACCAAGCAGCCGCCUCUGGUGUUGCAAGCCAGUGUUGAAACCAAAAACUUGAGGUUCCUUUAGUGUUCACUAAAGGAAGACUGCCUGCAUUAGCCAAGGAAUUCCCACAAGGUUUUAUUUUAACUGGCCGUUCUUAUUACAAAACCCUACAUGUCAACAACCUAGUUCAAACAUGGUUAAUUACAUGCAGCUUUUAAUUUGGACAUUUUGUACAAGGGUGUUAAAGCUAAGAGUUAUGCAUACAUUCAUGUGAUAAAGGGCCCUGACCAAGUUGGGAAUUUUCCCCUGUGGGACUAAUAAAGGAAUAUCUUGUCUUAUCUUAACAGUCAGGUGAAUGCACUGCAGCCAUCCACUAGGAGGCUAAGAGCCUGCCACACUUUCUGCUGUUUUACAGGUUGUUCAGAAGUUAGGCUGAGUCAGAGUUUACAAGAUGUUGCCUGCCAAUGUUGGGCUUCAAAAUACCUCUACUUAUUUGUUCACUUUCUUGUUUUCCAAAGAGUGAAAUAAAUGACAAUACUGUAUUUCAAAUAUACUUAACAAAUAAGCUUGAGCCCAAAUUGUUUGUAACGCCACUUAGUUCCAAAAACUACAUGGCAGGCUAAAUUAUUUUGUCCACCUUUUCAAUGAAAAAUGUCCUGCCAACAUUAAUAAUAAGCUUUUUAGUUAAAAAACAUUUAAUUGAAAAAAAGGGGAUAACAAACCAAAUAUUAAAACUGAAAUGUUUUAUUUCUUAACAGUUAACAUAUUCUUGUUUUUAAUGUUGAUGCCAACAACACGUUUUUUAGACAGAUGGCAUGUCUUGUGUUGCAUCUCCUCUUCUUUUGACAACAAUCUACAAAGAUUUGAGGACAUUAUGGUAUCAUCAGGGAUGCUGGCUUUUCAACUAGGCACUGAGCCAAGAGGAUAUGACAUCCAUAAUUUCCAAAGAGAAUGUCAAAUUUAGAUUUUUCACACAACAGGACAGUUUUUUCCGCUUCACAUCAGCCCCUCUCUUUAAUGGACUUGUGCACAGAGAAGUCACCUGUGUUUCUGGAUCCUGUUUAUGUAUGGUUUCUUCUUUGCAUGGUUUAGUUUAACCUGAGUGCAAACUCUAUUAACAGACAAUGAUUGUUGAACGUGGUUUUAAUGCAGUAAUUUCCACUACAGAGAAAUUGUCAGUUAUUGGCCUUUUCCUUUUUAUAGAUAUUUCUCCAGAUUCCUUAAGUCUCUCAAUGAUAAUUCUGUACUUUUGGUCACAGGAUCCUUAAUUUUUUUGCACUUUUAUUCCAACAAACUUCUUUCUAGAAUCGCUAAACUUCCGUAUUACUUACCGGGUCUCUCACAAAGUGCUAAACCUCUUCCCAUCUCUUCUCUUGAGAGAUUCUGCCUCUCCGAAGUGUCCUAUUUUCCCCCCUAGUCAUGUCACAGACCAUUACAAAUUAAUGUUUUUAGUUGGGAGAUGUUCCUCCGGGAUUCUUUUUAACUUAACACAACUUUUUCAGUGUUUUGUUGUCCCUUUUUUCGACUGAUUUGAAGUGUGCGGCUUGCAUCAAAUAUAAAAUAAGCAUACAUUUUUCAUAAAAGUUUUAAGCUUCAGCAUUUGAUUUGUUAUCUCUGCGCUGUUUUUAAUUAAACUGGGCUUGAAAAGACUUGCAAACCAUCAAAUUGUGUUUUCAACAUAAUUCUACACAGUGUCUCUUUUUGGAGUUUAGAUUGAACACCCAAUCAUAUAAGAGUCGGCUGAAGGUCACUUCCUAUAAGCUUGUGUGAGUGACUGUGACCCUUUAUCAGUUGUGUUCAAAAUACUUGUUUAUAAUGAAAUUAAAGUCCCAAUUUCAAUUGAACGCAUGGACACUCCAAUAUCAAGUUUCCUGUUUCCAACUAAAUUUGCCAGCCAUUAAUGUUAAAUUUAUGUAAACUGCCUGUGCUGCUAUCAGAGUUCAUCUCUUUGGACCAAGACACUCCUAUUAUACUCCUUUAUACUGUUUUUUUGUGCUGUUCUACUGUUUAUCAGAGCACAUGAAAGGCUUCUUGACUGAUUGAAUUUCCUGUUUGAAAUAGUUAAUUAUGACUUGGCUAUUCAGCUGUUAUCUGGAGUUCAUCUUUUCUGACCUAGAAACUAUUAUGUCCUUGAUAUUGGUAGCCGAUGGAAAAACAUGAGGAGGAUGAAAAAAAAAGGAGAAAAAAAGCAGAAGAAUCACUUGGAGUUGUUUACAGUUUUGUGAGAAAGAGCUAAAGUAAACAAUAAUGUAAGGUGACAGUAGCCCAUGUCUGGUGUGUUAUGUUUGCACUUUUUAAAACCAAGUCCUGUGCCACGAAGAUACCACACCGGAGGCUAAAAGGAUGCGUGGUCGUGAUGACAAGGGUCACGGUAGGUCUGCCUGUCACCUCAAGUGUUUAUUCUGCUGCUGUCCUUGAGCAAGGUAGCGCAACCUUUAUCGGCUCAGAAGGUGUCGCAUCAUUAAACUGACACUGUGCCAGGGCGAGAAAAGUAUCCUUGCACUUCUUAAAACAGGUGAACUUGUAAAGGGCUUUUGCUCCUGUUGUCUGCAUGUGGUUUUAUUUAACCAUAGUAUGAUAGGAAUAGGAGAAUAAGGCAUUGUACACUUCCCCUCAGAAACCAGAAAUUAACAAAAAGAUUAUAAAUGGUCGAAUUUUCUGAAGAAACAAAUACUUUCUCAUUCUCGUACGCUGAGACAUCAUCAUUCAAAGUGAGAUUUAUCAAUCAGUUUGUGACAUCAAAUGCUUUGGGCCCAAAAAUGUAGGGUAUGAAUUGAAUAGCAGCCUAACAGAGGAAGUGUAGGAGUGAAGUCAUGUCACAUGAGUCACUUGAACUAAAAAAGUGACAUUUCUACUGUCACUUUUGAAGAAAUACUCAUGAAAUUAUUAUCGUCAGUCUCUCCGGCGACAGAGGGGUUCGGUCAGAGUAACUACUACACGUCAGAAUGAACAAACAUUCGAACAAAGGCGUGUAGUGAGCUGCCUUCCUCUAGCUGUCGGUUCGGCUUUAUGAAAUGGUCAGGAUGGAGAAGGAAGGGAAUGUGCGCCUGUGCUGCAGUUGCUGCAUUUAAAUUCAGUACUGCCAAAGUACACGGACAAUCUGUACGAGUCCACUCACACAUCAUAGCACUCGAAUCAAAGGCUUCGCUGGCAAGGCAGAAUUACCUCCAUGUGUCAAAGAAUCAUGCUACCAGAAAGGAUUUAGGAAAAGGUACAAUCUAAAAUUGUUGUAGCUUCAAUUUUUUCCCUGUUGACUGCAUCACUCGACUCAAAACUUAAACGUACAUUUUUCUGGUUAGGAGAAACUGCUGCCUAAGAAAACCAUGUCCUUUUUCACUGUGUCGAGUCUCAAGUGUAGCAGUAUUGUUCAGGAAGGACAGCUUCAUCACUGGAGAAGGAAGUGAGAGAGGAAGAUGCAAAAAGGGCCCUUUCAGGUCACAUCUAUUUCAAAUCAGGAGGAGACACUGCUGCAGUGAAUCAUGCUGGUGGGCUCGGAAAAAAAAACAAAAAAAACAACAUGAGACAAAAAACAGGUUCAGGAUGUGGAUGUUGCACACAUACUUUACACUAUGCCCACAGAUAUGGUGUGUUGUAUAUCGAGGCCUGUUUGUUUUCAGUAUAUAUUACAGGACUCGGAGCCUGGCAGCUUGUUGUAGAAACACUUUAGGCUAGAAUACAGAGAAGGACGUGCCCUUGAUGUGCAGAAGAGCCAUGAGGAAAAGUGGCUGAUAAAAAGAGCGCGGAUAACGGUCAGGCGCAGAGGUUAAUGCGAAAUGAGCGAGUCAGGGCGGCAGAGAAGCUACACUGAACAUCGGUGAUUGAAGGAGGGAAAACAUGAUAGUCAGAGUGGAUCAUCUGAAUUUGGGAAGUAUUGUUAAUUUUUAUGUACAGUGGCAGGAAAUCUCAGAGAAUGAUAUUGUGCAUGACAAUGUAAUACAGAGCAUUCAAGAGCUGUGAAAGCCUCUUAUAAACAUCAAUUCACUGUAUUUUUAACACAACAUUUAUUUUUUUUUCGCCAAAGCUUUUCUUAUUUCUGGAUGUGAAAUAUCAUUUUCAUGUUUAGUGUAGAGAGAACUAAAAUGGGAGGAUGAAGAGGGAUUUUGUCACUUUUUUUUUCAGGUUGGCAGACAUAAGCCUGGAUAAGCCCUCAUAAAUAUUAGUCUGUCUCACACACUCUGUUUCCAGUUGUAGUAAAUAUACUGGCAAAGUUUAGCACAUCACAAAUCCAAAUCCCCCUCUGCGGGUGUGUUAAUGCUAUUCUAGCCCAGUAGCAUGUUGUUUCCCUUCAAAUCAAUCUCAGACAGAAAAUGCUGUAUCGCCCUAACACAUAUCACUGUCUGUGUGGAAACUGGAUUCUGAUUGGCUGCAGGGGUCAAUUAUUUCUUGCAAAUUGAACAUUAAUGAAGUCGUCUCUGUAAGCUGUCUGUUCACUGAUUUAAGAUAUUUGGCUGUUUACAUACCAGCCUGUCCUCAGAAUUACAAAGAAGAGCAGGAAGACUGUAAAACCCCAAUUUAUGCACCCUGUUAACAAGCUAACAACUAAGUGUUACUGUCUAGCUAUCCUUUCACAUCACAUUUACUGUCUACUACAUUUUUUUCAUUUGUACAGUAACACUAAACUUAAUUUUUUUAAGUUAUAUUUUUGCCUUUAAGAGAGUGAAAGUGAGGAAACUGAGUGAGUUGUCGGGUAUCUUGUGAGUUGUUUAAACAUAACACAUCCUCACAAAGUGGUUGACCCUUAAUAUGUUUGAUGUAAACAGACUGACAUAACAUAGCAAAGAAGCAAUUACUUUUGUAGUUGGGCACUCCUACAAGCACAAUACAAUCACACAAAUGAAGCAAGUUGUUGGUGCAAAUUGUGUUUGGUAUAAACGCACCAUAACACUGCUGGCGUCUAACGCAGUAUUUAUUGUCAUAACAAAUCAAAAAAUAAAAGCCAUAAAAAUAAUUUUAUUUCAUUCAUCUAAAUUAAGACACUGUUAUGAAGUGUUUUACAUUGCCAAUAUGGACUUAAAGGGGAACUUCAGUGUUUUUUCAUCUUGGCCCUACUUUCUCGUGUGUUUGCAUGUGCUUGACAGAUGGGGAGAACGAUUUCUGAAACUGGUCCAGUAUCGAGCGAGAGCAGAGCAGCCAGCAGCUGUGAAACGAG